AGAGUCCAGCAAGGAGGUCUGGGAUUCACACUGAGCACGUGUGUCUGCCUAGGCUUGGGCUGUUUUCUGGGAUGGACUACCUGAAAUUCAUCACGGAAGGAGGCAGAGCAUCCCUGACACUGGUGUCUGAUCUUCCCUGGUGAUUUCAGUCCCUGGCAGUAACAAUCUUUGCAUGUGUACUCAGAGAGCUGCCACGAUGAGUCAAACAUCAAUG
ensembl:lincRNA Gm44019 predicted gene, 44019